AUUGAACGCUAGCGGGAUGCCUUACACAUGCAAGUCGAACGGCAGCGCGGACUUCGGUCUGGCGGCGAGUGGCGAACGGGUGAGUAAUGUAUCGGAACGUGCCCAGUAGCGGGGGAUAACUACUCGAAAGAGUAGCUAAUACCGCCUACGCCCGACGGGGGAAAGGGGAGGAUCGCAAGACCUCUCACUAUUUGAGAGGCCGAUAUCAGAUUAGCUAGUUGGUGAGGUAAAGGCUCACAAAGGCGACGAUCCGUAGCUGGUUUGAGAGGACGACCAGCAACACUGGGACUGAGACACGGCCCAGACUCCUACGGGAGGCAGCAGUGGGGAAUUUUGGACAAUGGGGGAAACCCUGAUCCAGCCAUUCCGCGUGUGCGAUGAAGGCCUUCGGGUUGUAAAGCACCUUUGGCAGGAAAGAAAUCGCAUCAAUUAAUACUUGGUGUGGAUGACGGUACCUGCAGAAUAAGCACCGGCUAACUACGUGCCAGCAGCCGCCGUAA
rnacentral:rRNA from 1 species